UGCAUAUCAAUAAGCGGAGGAAAAGAAACCAACAGGGAUUGCCCUAGUAACGGCGAGUGAAGCGGCAACAGCUCAAAUUUGAAAUCUGGCCUCGGCCCGAGUUGUAAUUUGCAGAGGAAGCUUUGGGCGCGGCACCGACCGAGUCCCCUGGAACGGGGCGCCAUAGAGGGUGAGAGCCCCGUAUGGUCGGACGCCUAGCCUGUGUAAAGCUCCUUCGACGAGUCGAGUAGUUUGGGAAUGCUGCUCAAAAUGGGAGGUAAAUUUCUUCUAAAGCUAAAUACCGGCCAGAGACCGAUAGCGCACAAGUAGAGUGAUCGAAAGAUGAAAAGCACUUUGAAAAGAGGGUUAAAUAGCACGUGAAAUUGUUGAAAGGGAAGCGCUUGUGACCAGACUUGCGCCCGGCUGAUCAUCCGGUGUUCUCACCGGUGCACUCUGCCGGGCUCAGGCCAGCAUCGGUUCUCGCGGGGGGACAAAGGCCCUGGGAACGUAGCUCCUCCGGGAGUGUUAUAGCCCAGGGUGCAAUGCCCUCGCGGGGACCGAGGUUCGCGCAUCUGCAAGGAUGCUGGCGUAAUGGUCACCAGCGACCCGUCUUGAAACACGGACCA
rnacentral:rRNA from 1 species